rnacentral:rRNA from 1 species
AUUGAACGCUGGCGGCAGGCCUAACACAUGCAAGUCGAACGGUAACAGGAAGAAGCUUGCUUCUUUGCUGACGAGUGGCGGACGGGUGAGUAAUGUCUGGGAAACUGCCUGAUGGAGGGGGAUAACUACUGGAAACGGUAGCUAGUACCGCAUAAUGUCGCAAGACCAAAGAGGGGGACCUUCGGGCCUCUUGCCAUCGGAUGUGCCCAGAUGGGAUUAGCUAGUAGGUGGGGUAACGGCUCACCUAGGCGACGAUCCCUAGCUGGUCUGAGAGGAUGACCAGCCACACUGGAACUGAGACACGGUCCAGACUCCUACGGGAGGCAGCAGUGGGGAAUAUUGCACAAUGGGCGCAAGCCUGAUGCAGCUAGGCCGCGUGUAUGAAGAAGGCCUGCGGGUUGUAAAGUACUUUCAGCGGGGAGGAAGGGAGUAAAGUUAAUACCUUUGCUCAUUGACGUUACCCGCAGAAGAAGCACCGGCUAACUCC